GUUGCUUAGAGAUAUACAUUACAUUUUUUUUUUUUUUUUUUUUUUUUUUUUUUUUUUUGUAUGACGACCGAUUGAGAGGCGAGAGAUUCGUAGUCCCUUUGUUAUAGCCGUUAUCUCCCUCCCAUCUCGGGCACGUCGCAUGAUCGAUAACGGACCCGCUCGGUUUGCGGACUGAUUUUAUUUAAUAUUAAAAUAUAAUUUAUCCGGCUAUAAUAUAAUAUUUUAAAUCGGCUUGUUUAACUUCGAAUCUCAAUUAAUCGUAAUACGUUAUACUCGAACAUUAUAAAAUACCUACA